AACGAACGCUGGCGGCAUGCCUAACACAUGCAAGUCGAACGAUACCUUCGGGUCUAGUGGCGCACGGGUGCGUAACGCGUGGGAACCUGCCCUUAGGUUCGGAAUAACUCCCCGAAAGGGGUGCUAAUACCGGAUAAUGUCUUCGGACCAAAGAUUUAUCGCCUUUGGAUGGGCCCGCGUUGGAUUAGCUAGUUGGUAGGGUAAAAGCCUACCAAGGCGACGAUCCAUAGCUGGUCUGAGAGGAUGAUCAGCCACACUGGGACUGAGACACGGCCCAGACUCCUACGGGAGGCAGCGGUGGGGAAUAUUGGACAAUGGGCGAAAGCCUGAUCCAGCAAUGCCGCGUGAGUGAUGAAGGCCUUAGGGUUGUAAAGCUCUUUUACCCGGGAUGAUAAUGACAGUACCGGGAGAAUAAGCUCCGGCUAACUCCGUG
rnacentral:rRNA from 1 species